rnacentral:tRNA from 1 species
GCGUUCAUAGCUCAGUUGGUUAGAGCACCACCUUGACAUGGUGGGGGUCGUUGGUUCGAGUCAAAUUGAACGCACCA